UGUAGGAAUCAGAUAAGCCGAAUCACAUGUUAAUAUCAUUCAACAUUUGGAGGUCUGUAAUCGAAACGUGUGUGCGGUUCUUCUAUGGGGCAUUACCAGUGAUUCAACUUGCAUCAUAGGCGACACCCACAAUGGGCAAGACUAUCUUAGAAGUGGGCUAACCCACACAUUGAACAUAAACGUUUCAACUGCGCCAUGAGUUAGCUUGACAAAAGACCUCAUGGUGAGGUCGAGACAUUAUCUGUACAAUUUGUUCCAAUAAACACAACUUUUUUUUCAGCUACUGUGUGCCCAGAUGUACUUGGACUUCACUUUGAGAUGUUUGUCUCAUUGUUUAGUUGUAUACAAUACAUGUUGUAUAGUUGUGUGUAAUAUAGUUCUAUGAUGUUAUCUCUAAUUGCAAGUUGGAAGUGUUAUGGAGGAAUUUCAGCUUCAUUAUCAUAUGAUUGUCUUCCUAUUAGAACUGUCGAGAGCAGUAGUUUGCUGCUAAACUAAGGAUGGCCGUGCCCUUGCCAUAUUCCUCUGCUCUGUAAUUGUAAACUGAGUUUUCCAGUACAAGGCUAAAUAGGAUCCUGAGAUGAGGCACCUGUAAAUUUUUACUGUACUUAUUGGCCCCCAGCAGCACCCCAU